GGUAGAUUGGCAGAGUGGUAAUGCAGAUGGUUGCUAACCAUUACAACGGAAACGUUGCAUAAGUUCGAAUCUUAUAUCUACCG
rnacentral:tRNA from 1 species